GGGUAGCCGGCCUGAGAGGGCGACCGGCCACACUGGGACUGAGACACGGCCCAGACUCCUACGGGAGGCAGCAGUGGGGAAUAUUGCACAAUGGGCGAAAGCCUGAUGCAGCGACGCCGCGUGAGGGAUGACGGCCUUCGGGUUGUAAACCUCUUUCAGCAGGGAAGAAGCGUAAGUGACGGUACCUGCAGAAGAAGCGCCGGCUAACUACGUGCCAGCAGCCGCGGUAAUACGUAGGGCGCAAGCGUUGUCCGGAAUUAUUGGGCGUAAAGAGCUCGUAGGCGGUUUGUCGCGUCUGGUGUGAAAACCCGAGGCUCAACCUCGGGCUGGCAUCGGGUACGGGCAGACUAGAGUGCGGUAGGGGAGACUGGAAUUCCUGGUGUAGCGGUGGAAUGCGCAGAUAUCAGGAGGAACACCGAUGGCGAAGGCAGGUCUCUGGGCCGCAACUGACGCUGAGGAGCGAAAGCAUGGGGAGCGAACAGGAUUUGAUACCCUGGUAGUCCAUGCCGUAAACGUUGGGCACUAGGUGUGGGGCUCUUUCCACGAGUUCCGUGCCGCAGCUAACGCAUUAAGUGCCCCGCCUGGGGAGUACGGCCGCAAGGCUAAAACUCAAAGGAAUUGACGGGGGCCCGCACAAGCGGCGGAGCAUGCGGAUUAAUUCGAUGCAACGCGAAGAACCUUACCAAGGCUUGACAUGCGCCGGAAACUGCCAGAGAUGGUGGCCCCGUAAGGUCGGUGCACAGGUGGUGCAUGGUCGUCGUCAGCUCGUGUCGUGAGAUGUUGGGUUAAGUCCCGCAACGAGCGCAACCCUCGUCCCAUGUUGCCAGCGGGUUAUGCCGGGGACUCAUGGGAGACUGCCGGGGUCAACUCGGAGGAAGGUGGGGAUGACGUCAAAUCAUCAUGCCCCUUAUGUCUUGGGCUUCACGCAUGCUACAAUGGCCGGUACAGAGGGCUGCGAUACCGUAAGGUGGAGCGAAUCCCAAAAAGCCGGUCCCAGUUCGGAUUGGGGUCUGCAACUCGACCCCAUGAAGUCGGAGUCGCUAGUAAUCGCAGAUCAG
rnacentral:rRNA from 1 species